rnacentral:rRNA from 1 species
UACAGAGGUCUCAAGCGUUGUUCGGAUUCAUUGGGCGUAAAGGGUGCGUAGGCGGCGCGGUAAGUCGGGUGUGAAAUCUUGGAGCUCAACUCGGAAACUGCAUUGGAAACUACCUGGCUAGAGGGUUGGAGGGGGGACUGGAAUGCUUGGUGUAGCAGUGAAAUGCGUAGAUAUCAAGCGGAACACCAGUGGCGAAGGCGAGUCCCUGGACAACUCCUGACACUGAUGCACGAAAGCUAGGGGAGCAAACAGG